rnacentral:rRNA from 1 species
UUGUGUUUAUGAAAUUUUAUUUGUUUAGUAGUGGGAUACGAAAUAAUAGAAUAGCUGAGUAAAGAUAAGUAACGAAAGUGAAAAUAGUAAAAUGAGUAAGUAAGGUUAAAUUUCUGUACCUUUUGCAUCAUGGUUAAAUAAGAGAAUAAAUAUAUUUUAUUCCCCGAAAUAAGUGCGAUCUAUUUUUACGUUAAGGAGGUUUAUGUUGCAAUAUAAUCUUUUAAAGUUAAAAUAGUAGUGAUAUGCUUCACGCGCCUUAAGAUAGCUGGUUACCAGAGAAACACAUUAUAGUGUGCUGUUUUAGUUUUUUACUCUUAGAGGUUAAGGUGUCAAGAAUUAAAGUAGUCCUAAGGUUAAGUUUAAGCUUGGUCUUGAUUAGAAGAAUGUUUGUUUUGAAAUGUGUGUUGUAGGCUUAGAAGCGGCCAUCUUAAGACCGUUAUAGGAUAGCGCAGUUAAAAAUAAGAUAGUUAAUUUUUCUCUUUAAAGUAUCUGGUUUUUAUAAGUAAUUAGUGUUUAUUUUACGGAUUUUUAAAUGAGUAAUAGUUUUAUGUUUUGUUUUAGUUCAUUUAAAGAUUAUGAUAACUAAAGUAAUUAUAAGAUUAAACGUAUAAAAGGAACUCGGCAAAUAUCUAUUUCACCUGUUUAACAAAAACAUGGCUCUUUGUAGUAUAAAAAUAAAGAGUCCGGCCUGCUCAAUGAUGAUUUAUCAUUAAAUAGCUGCGGAAUCCUAACCGUGUGAAAGUAGCAUAAUCAUUUGCCUCUUAAUUGGUGGCUGGAAUGAAUGGUACGAUGAAAAUAGAGCUGUCUCUAAUAUGUUUUAUUGAAAUUACCUUUUAGGUGAAAAGGCCUAAAUACAUCUAUAAGACAAGAAGACCCUAUCGAGCUUUAAGUAAGCUGUAUAUAAAAUUUAGUUGACUUUUGGUUGGGGUAACCAGGGGGUAGAUUAAAUCCCUCUUUUAUUGUAUCACUUACUAGUGAAGAUCCAGUUAUAUUGAUCAUGGGAAAUAGUUACCGUAGGGAUAACAGCGUAAUUCCUUUUGUGAGCUCUUAUUAACAAAGGAGUUUGCGACCUCGAUGUUGGAUUAAGAUAUCCUGAAGGUGCAGUAGCUUUCAAGGGUUGGUUUGUUCAACCAUUAAAAUCUUACAUGAUCUGAGUUCAGACCGGCGUGAGCCAGGUUGGUUUAUAUCUGUAGAUAAAAGAUUAAGGGGUAGUACGAAAGGAUCUUCCUUAUUUUUA